rnacentral:rRNA from 1 species
GCACCAAUAGCCCAGUGUGUGAAUCAACAUUUUUUUGUUGAAUUGUGGUCUGUCGAGUUUUCCGUUGAGCGUUUGGACAAAGUCCUCUGGAAUGGGGCAGCUUAGAGGGUGAAACUCCUGUAUGUCUAUCUGCGUAAGGGAAACUUCUGCGAGUCGAGUUGUUUGGGAUUGCAGCUCUAAGUGGGUGGUAAAUUCCAUCUAAGGCUAAAUACUAGUAAGAGACCGAUAGCGUACAAGUACCGUGAGGGAAAGAUGCAAAGCCGCGCGAGAGCGCUGUCAAAGAGUACCUGAACUUGCUGAAAAGGAAGCAAAGGAAACCAGUGUUAGCCAUCCUGCAUUUCCUUCUCUGCUUGCAGAUAAGGCGCUGCAGCUGGUGAUGUCCUUCUAAGUGAUUCCCAGUGGAGAUUAGUCAAUUGGCACUAGGAGUUACUUAGAUGGACGAAAUGGUUUUCUUUUCCCCG